GCAGUCGAACGGUGAAAGAGGAGCUUGCUCCUCUGGAUCAGUGGCGAACGGGUGAGUAACACGUGAGUAACCUGCCCUUGACUCUGGGAUAAGCGUUGGAAACGACGUCUAAUACCGGAUAUGAACCGCGAAGGCAUCUUCUGCGGUUGGAAAGAAUUUUGGUCAAGGAUGGACUCGCGGCCUAUCAGCUAGUUGGUGAGGUAACGGCCCACCAAGGCGACGACGGGUAGCCGGCCUGAGAGGGUGACCGGCCACACUGGGACUGAGACACGGCCCAGACUCCUACGGGAGGCAGCAGUGGGGAAUAUUGCACAAUGGGCGAAAGCCUGAUGCAGCAACGCCGCGUGAGGGACGACGGCCUUCGGGUUGUAAACCUCUUUUAGCAGGGAAGAAGCGAAAGUGACGGUACCUGCAGAAAAAGCACCGGCUAACUACGUGCCAGCAGCCGCGGUAAUACGUAGGGUGCAAGCGUUGUCCGGAAUUAUUGGGCGUAAAGAGCUCGUAGGCGGUUUGUCGCGUCUGCUGUGAAAACGCGAGGCUCAACCUCGCGCCUGCAGUGGGUACGGGCAGACUAGAGUGCGGUAGGGGAGAUUGGAAUUCCUGGUGUAGCGGUGGAAUGCGCAGAUAUCAGGAGGAACACCGAUGGCGAAGGCAGAUCUCUGGGCCGUAACUGACGCUGAGGAGCGAAAGCGUGGGGAGCGAACAGGA
rnacentral:rRNA from 1 species